GCCAUGAGCAGAAGGUUCCCUCUGACAGGUCAGUGGAAAAGGUUAGUGACAGGGCUGCCCUGAAGCUGGAAAAAAGAACCUAAUACCUGGACAACUGGUGAGGAGCCUGGCUAGAGCCAGGCUUUGUUCCCUAAAGGGGGCUGCCUCUGCUGCGGAAGAGAUUGUACAUCAAAGCUCUGCAUCUGAGGACCACGUGAUCAAAAAAUCCUACAGAAGCCCAGGAUUCCUCCCACCCUAAAUUUGCCUGAGGUGCCUGAGUGSAGCACGGACAUCCUCGGGCUCCCUCUGUUGUCGAUGGAGCGAAGCACCUGCGGGAGGUGACCCAGCUCUCAGUGACCCUCAGAUCACUUGGCCGCCACCAGACUCCUGAUGGGCAUUUUCACAGCCAUUAAUUGAAUUAUUGACAAGUGAAAAAUGCUCYACUGUGAAGCCAACCUGCCUCGACCCUCCACCUGCCUUAGAGGAGAGAAGAGCAACGCAUGAAAUAUCUCAUUAUGAGAGAGAAGGAAUGACAUUUGAGCUAUGCAGAGAACUUGCAGCCAAAUUCCCCUGGGAGCAGAGUGCAUGCACUUGGGUGCUGGAGGAGAGCAGGACACUCUCUGGUCAGCCUGGAGAGCUCAGCAGGAGUGAGAUUCCACUUUUAGAUCCAGAGGAAUCCUGAGAGUGUAAACUGGGAACUGGGAGUCCUGGCCCAGAUUCACUGCGUGGGAUGGGAGGGUUGAAUUCUGACUUUCACCUGAAGCAAGGGAUCUGUGAUAUUUGCCYCUCAGCAUCACUGCUGGUUGCUCACACAGCCAGACAGACCCUGCUGCUGCUCCUUGCAGUCACGAGUGCAGGAAAAAUAAUUUAUGGCAUGAAAAUACGGUUCUAGAGGAGAUGAUGUAUCAUGAAUGUGUCGUGCAGGUUGAAGCUGGCCAACAGAUUGUGUGCUUGGCAUGUCUGCUUUAAAAUUAAUCAUUUGUUUCAGUGAUAUCCUGAUUUGGGGUGCUUUCCUGAGUUUGGGACCUAAAACGCAACUUUAGGGAAAACUUCCUUAAUCCAACAAAUAAAUCUGUU